AACGAACGCUGGCGGCAUGCCUAACACAUGCAAGUCGAACGAGACCUUCGGGUCUAGUGGCGCACGGGUGCGUAACGCGUGGGAACCUGCCCUUAGGUUCGGAAUAACUCCCCGAAAGGGGUGCUAAUACCGGAUAAUGUCUUCGGACCAAAGAUUUAUCGCCUGUGGAUGGGCCCGCGUUGGAUUAGCUAGUUGGUAGGGUAAAAGCCUACCAAGGCGACGAUCGAUAGCUGGUCGGAGAGGAGGAUCGGCCACACUGGGACUGAGACACGGCCCAGACUCGUCUGGGAGGCAGCAGUGGGGUAGGUUGCAUGAUGGGCGGAAGCCUGAUUCAGCAACGCCGCGUGCGGGAUGACGGCCGUCGGGUUGGAAACCGAUUUCGCCUGGGACGAAGCGUGAGUGACGGUAAUGGGUAAAGAAGCACCGGCUAACUACGUG
rnacentral:rRNA from 1 species